rnacentral:rRNA from 1 species
UGGUGGAGUGAUUUGUCUGGUUAAUUCCGAUAACGAACGAGACCGUAGCCUCUAAAUAGUUUUUCCAAUUUUUCACGGGAUUGGCAAAAACUUCUUAGGGGGACUCCCGGCUUUCAGCCGUGGGGAAGGUGUGCGGCAAUAACA